AGGGGCAGUAUUAUUACUAGGGACAGCCGAACUUUUCUUACGUUCAGGAAUAUCAGCCUUAUUUGGAUUGCUGGCAUUUCCAAGCAUUGGACUAGCUGGUGCAAUUCCUCUUCCUGCAACAGCACUACUGCUAGAUUUUCUUGAUUGAAUUCCUUCCUCUUUUAGGUCACUGUCUGUAGUACUAGUUUGGCUUCUUUUGGGAUAUGCCACUACUGGGGGGAUGGAUGGUCCAGCAUGAUCGCUGUAGCGCCUCUGCUUCUGGCUAGAAGAUAUGCUUCUCUGAACUUUGUGAUGAGGAGAUUGUCCAGUGCUAUUAUUAAGAUCACUACUUGGCCGAACUUUAGCAAGUGAAAGAUUGCUGCUGGAGCUUGAAUCACUUGCAUCCAACUCUGAUGAUUUCCUUCCUAGCAAUAAGUAUGUAGCUGUGAUUUCAUCAUACUUCAUUUUACUAAGGGAUUCUUGAAUUUCUUCUUGAGAAUAUCCCAUUCCUACCAUAAUAUCUAUUCUUUUCUGGUCCGAGAUGUCUAGUUCUGGUUCAACAAAAGGUUUAAGUUCAUCCUCCUCAUGCCCUGCAUUGAUCCACCUGUCCUUCAUAAUUUGCUCUAGAGUGCCUCUUUUUGUUGGGUUUAGCACCAGGAAACGUUUGAGGAGGUUUUCACAGUCUGUGGACAUGUAGAAAGGAAUCCGGUAUUUUCCCCUUAGUACUCUCUCUCUAAGUUCCUUUAAGUUCUGCCCAUCAAAAGGAAGAGAUCCACUCACGAGGGUAUAAAGAAUAACACCUAAACUCCAAACAUCUACUUCAGGUCCAUCGUAUUUUUUCCCUUGAAAAAGUUCAGGAGCAGCAUAAGGUGGGCUUCCACAAAAUGUGUCCAGUUUAUUACCAACUGUAAAUUCAUUGCUAAACCCAAAGUCGGCUAUUUUAAUGUUCAUAUCUGCAUCUAGCAAUAGAUUUUCAGCCUUGAGAUCUCUAUGAACAAUAUGCUUUUGAUGGCAGUACUGCACUGCAGAUACUAUCUGCCUAAAUUUAGCUCUUGCUUCCUUUUCCUUCAUUCUUCCAUGCGCAACCAGAUAGUCAAACACCUCCC
rnacentral:lncRNA from 1 species